GGUCAAGCGAAUAAGCGCACACGGUGGAUGCCUAGGCGGUCAGAGGCGAUGAAGGACGUGGUAGCCUGCGAAAAGUGUCGGGGAGCUGGCAACAAGCUUUGAUCCGGCAAUAUCCGAAUGGGGAAACCCACUGCUUCGGCAGUAUCCUGCAGUGAAUUCAUAGCUGCUGGAAGCGAACCCGGUGAACUGAAAUAUCUAAGUAACCGGAGGAAAAGAAAUCAACCGAGAUUCCCUAAGUAGUGACGAGCGAACGGGGAGCAGCCCUUAAGCUGGAAUGGCUUUAGAAAAACAAUCUGGAAAGAUUGGCCAUAGAAGGUGAUAGCCCUGUAUUUAAAAGGGCCACUCCAGUGAAGACGAGUAGGGCGGGGCACGUGAAACCCUGUCUGAAUAUGGGGGGACCAUCCUCCAAGGCUAAAUACUCCUGACCGACCGAUAGUGAACCAGUACCGUGAGGGAAAGGCGAAAAGAACCCCGGAGAGGGGAGUGAAAUAGAUCCUGAAACCGUGUGCGUACAAGCAGUAGGAGCUCGCAAGAGUGACU
rnacentral:rRNA from 1 species